rnacentral:rRNA from 1 species
AUUGAACGCUGGCGGCAGGCCUAACACAUGCAAGUCGAGCGAGCGGCGGACGGGUGAGUAAUGUAUGGGGAUCUGCCCGAUAGAGGGGGAUAACUACUGGAAACGGUGGCUAAUACCUCAUACUAUCGUAUGCACCCAUAUGGGAUUAGCUAGUGGGUGGGGUAAAGGCUCACCUAGGAGACGAUCUCUAGCUGGUCUGAGAGGAUGACCAGCCACACUGGAACUGAGCCACGGUCCAGACUCCUACGGGAGGCAGCAGUGGGGAAUAUUGCACAAUGGGCGCAAGCCUGAUGCAGCCAUGCCGCGUGUGUGAAGAAGGCCUUCGGGUUGUAAAGCACUUUCAGCGAGGAGGCGUUACUCGCAGAAGAAGCACCGGCUAACUCCGUGCCAGCAGCCGCGGUAAUAC